rnacentral:rRNA from 1 species
UACGUAGGGUGCAAGCGUUGUCCGGAAUCAUUGGGCGUAAAGCGCGCGUAGGUGGCUUCGUAAGUCCGUUGUGAAAGUCAAAGGCUCAACCUUUGAAUGCCGAUGGAUACUGCGAAGCUAGAGUACGGAAGAGGCGAGUGGAAUUCCUGGUGUAGCGGUGGAAUGUGCAGAUAUCAGGAGGAACACCAAUAGCGAAGGCAGCUCGCUGGGACGUUACUGACACUAAGGCGCGAAAGCGUGGGGAGCGAACAGG